AGCCUACGGGACGCAGCAGUGGGGAAUAUUGCACAAUGGGGGGAACCCUGAUGCAGCGACGCCGCGUGGGUGAAGGAGUAUUUCGGUAUGUAAAGCCCUAUCAGCAGGGAAGAACAAUGACGGUACCUGACUAAGAAGCACCGGCUAAAUACGUGCCAGCAGCCGCGGUAAUACGUAUGGUGCAAGCGUUAUCCGGAUUUACUGGGUGUAAAGGGAGCGCAGGCGGCGCGUUAAGCCGGCGGUGAAAUCGCGGGGCUCCACCCCGCCGAGCCGUCGGAACUGGGGGCCUUGAG
rnacentral:rRNA from 1 species